rnacentral:rRNA from 1 species
GAUGAACGCUAGCGAUAGGCUUAACACAUGCAAGUCGAGGGGCAGCAUGGUCUUAGCUUGCUAAGACUGAUGGCGACCGGCGCACGGGUGCGUAACGCGUAUGCAACUUGCCUCACAGAGGGGGAUAACCCGUCGAAAGACGGACUAAUACCGCGUACACUCCAUCUUGGGCAUCCAAGGUAGAGGAAAUGAAAUUCGCUGUGAGAUAGGCAUGCGUCCCAUUAGCUAGUUGGUGAGGUAACGGCUCACCAAGGCGACGAUGGGUAGGGGAACUGAGAGGUUGAACCCCCACACUGGUACUGAGACACGGACCAGACUCCUACGGGAGGCAGCAGUGAGGAAUAUUGGGCAAUGGGCGAGAGCCUGAACCAGCCAAGUCGCGUGAAGGAUGACUGUCUUAUGGAUUGUAAACUUCUUUUAGACGGGAAUAACAAGAGUCACGUGUGACUCCCUGCAUGUACCGUAUGAAUAAGCAUCGGCUAACUCCGUG